GGGUGAUUAGCUCAGCUGGGAGAGCGACUGCCUUACAAGCAGAAUGUCGGCGGUUCGAUCCCGUCAUCACCCACCA
rnacentral:tRNA from 1 species